UUGACCUGGUCCUUGACUGGUGACUUUUGACCUUCCGGACUAAUUUUCAAGUUUACAAAUUCGGUUAUUGGAAGUGUCAUGUUUUGUACUAUCAAACCAAUAUGCAUGCUUCAGAUAACAUUUUGAAUCCGAAAAAAAAACCGAACGACCAGGAUCAACAAAUUGCAAUUGCUAAAAAUUACGCACUCCAUCUUUCAUGCCAAUUCGAGAUUCCAGCGGCGAGGCGCUUCAAUGGUCAGCUAAUAACUUCGCCAUUUUCCGAAAAUUGAUGAUUAGUAAGUUUUUCUUGUACUGACCAAAUCUGAGUUAAAAUACACUCGAAAUUUUAAAACGCUUCGUUAGUUAUCUCCCAUUAAAAAAAAAUAACCGACAAUCAACGUUUCGCUUAAAAAUUAAAGUAUGAUUGAUUUAAAAAAAAAAAAAUAUGUGUACUUUUCCCGAUCUUUUAUAUAGUAGCAUUUCAAGAACCCGGUUUCCACUUUGAACCGACAUGAAAGAUAUUUUUUCUCCAUUAUCUGAUUUUAUUGUUGACCUUUUUUCGGUGUUACUUAAAUAUUUAGCUAUAUAAUUAUUGAUUGCUUUCAGUUUUUAACCAUUUGUAUACGAUAAUAGUACAAAAUAAAUCAUUAUAAUCAAAUAUUUUCAUGGAAAUCAACAAAAC
rnacentral:lncRNA from 1 species